ensembl:lncRNA
CAGCUGUGGCCUCAGCACAGCAGCCUUCCCCCAGUGAUGGCCGUGCCUGGGGAGGGCAGGGGACAGCAAUGUCCCCACAGGGUGGCUGUGUGACUGACCCCUCCUGCCAUCCCUCCAUCCUGCUGCCCAGACCCCUCACAGGGGAGCUCCACUUCACCCCCCAGCACGAGGAAAAGCUGGAAUAGCUCACAGUGGCACAAUUUCACAGGCAGGACUGCUCACAGGUGGGAUAAACGGAGGGUCGCCUCCAUCCAGAGCUGCAGGAUGGGGCACAAAUCCCCAAGGACGGAGCAGAAACCUUCAGAUGGGGCAGGCUUUGGUCCUGGGGCAGAUCAUGCUGGGUGGAACUGCAGGGAGGACACAGCUGAGGGUUCUGCCAGCUGCCCAUCCCUGUGUUUUAUUCCCGUGUUUCCUUUUGCCCUCGCAGCCCUUUCCACCCCUUGUGCCUACACAAGCCAUUCCUACUUACAGAAGGUUUGCUUGGUUGAGAAGGCUGAAAUUGGAAACCUCAACUAGUCAAAACCUCCAGUUCAAGAGAUGUCAGCCACAUCCUUCAAUAACACAGUGAAAGCAUUCCUGUUGUUCUCCCAUGCAGGGACCACAACUACACAUAUGUGCUAAACUGAGGGAAUUUCAUGUUCACAGCCUGUGGGUGCUGGUGGAGGGUGAACCACAGCACAUCAUCCUCAGUGGAUGUGGUGGAGCCAAUAACUGAGAGCAUCUCAUGCCUGGAGGAAGCAGAGUGAGGAUGGCCAAGCAACACCACCAGAACUACCCUAACGAGCCUUCCUCAGCAUCCAGCCCCUUCUCUGCACUGCUGGCCAGAAAUGGGUGGGGGUUUUUGGGUUUGACCCCAGAAGCUUGCAGAGGGUAAGAAAUCAACCCCUCUGUCAGAGCAGGUGAGUAGCAUCUAAGAAUUAAACUCCAGCAUCCCUCCUAAGGGAGAUCCUUUCCCAGGAGCCUGGUCCAGCUGCUCUCCAGUGCCACCAAAUCCUCUGUGAGAUGGAAGGGCCCUGAGUCUCCCAGAGACAGCUCAACAUUUCAAAAGACGAGGUAUUAAUGUCAGCCCUUCCCUCCCUAACUCCCAUUAAUGACUUUCUGAUGACCCCUGCUUAUAAUAUCCUCCACCCUUCUCACUACUUGGCCAUUGAGGAUGUUCCAAGGAAAUGAAACCUAAUGAUAAAACAGUACUUGAAAUAUCAACAUCCCUGGCCUAAUUAGAGCCGGGCCAAUGGUCCCUAAUUGCAUAACUGAAAUGCACCCAGUUGAGUUCUUUCUAUUGUAACUUGACUACACGUCUCGGCCCUGAUUAAUAGAGCCAGCGCUGCAAACUAAAAUGCGGUUAAUUUAUUGUAAGUUUUAUUAGGCAUAUAAAAGGAGACCAGGAAUUACUAGCCUUUCGUUGCUAGAGAUACAUUUCAUCUAUGACUCAGACCAGAUUCUUCACAGAUUAAGCUUGUUAAUUUUACUUAUUGCCAACAUUCUUCACCACAUUGCUGGAGCGAGAGCUACGGGCCCUUGUCUAGAGCGGGCGGCGUGAAAGGAACCGGGGGCCUCGGACAACAGCAACAUUAACUACUUUGUCCUUUUA